rnacentral:lncRNA from 1 species
AUCGCAUGAUUGACUAACGCUAAGUAAGUUAUGCUUGAGACCAUCUACAAACCGAACAUUAUCAACAAAGGUUGAAGGUGUGAUUUGUAUUUUACUGAUAUCAAUGAUGUGACCUUGGUUAUUGUCUCCAAAAGUCACCGCACUUUCUUUCUUAGACUCUAGGAUGAAGAAUUGCUCCUUGUCACCCGUCAUGUGUCUUGAGCAGCCACUAUCCAAAUACCAACAGUGUUUAUUGAGCUUGGCUGCAAGAUACUCCUAC